GGGAGUAGCUCAGUUGGUAGAGCACUGGUCUCCAAAACCGGGUGUCGCAGGUUCAAGUCCUGUCUCCC
rnacentral:tRNA from 1 species